UACGAAGGGGGCUAGCGUUGUUCGGAUUUACUGGGCGUAAAGCGCACGUAGGCGGAUCGUUAAGUCGAGGGUGAAAUCCUGGAGCUCAACUCCAGAACUGCCUUCGAUACUGGCGAUCUAGAGUCCGGAAGAGGUGAGUGGAACUCCUAGUGUAGAGGUGGAAUUCGUAGAUAUUCGCAAGAACACCAGUGGCGAAGGCGGCUCACUGGCCCGGUACUGACGCUGAGGUGCGAAAGCGUGGGGAGCAAACAGG
rnacentral:rRNA from 1 species